GCUUGUCUCAAAGAUUAAGCCAUGCAUGUAUAAGUAUAAACGCUUUUAGCGUGAAACCGCGAACGGCUCAUUACAACAGCUGUAAUUUACUUGACCUUGACAACUUACUUGGAUAACUGUGGUAAUUCUAGAGCUAAUACAUGCACCAAAGCUCCAACCCGCAAGGGAAGAGCGCAUUUAUUAGAACAAAACCAAGCGGCUUCGGCCGUCCAUUGUUGACUCAGAAUAACUUAGCUGAUCGCAUGGUCUUGUACCGGCGACGUGUCUUUCAAGUAUCUGCCUUAUCAACUUUCGAUGGUAGUGUAUGUGACUACCAUGGUGGUGACGGGUAACGGAGGAUAAGGGUUCGACUCCGGAGAAGGGGCCUGAGAAAUGGCCACUACGUCUAAGGAUGGCAGCAGGCGCGCAAAUUACCCACUCUCAGAACGAGGAGGUAGUGACGAGAAAUAACGAGACCGUUCUCUUCAGAGGCCGGUCAUCGGAAUGGGUACAAUUUAAACCCUUUAACGAGUAUCUAUGAGAGGGCAAGUCUGGUGCCAGCAGCCGCGGUAAUUCCAGCUCUCAAAAUGCAUAGAAUUAUUGCUGCGGUUAAAAAGCUCGUAGUUGGAUCUGUGCUGGUGUGGCGGUCCACCUUCGGGUGCGCACUGUUCACACUGGCUUUCCUGUAGUGUUCGGCUCCGUGCCCUUUAUUGGGUGCGGAUGUUCGGUGCUACAAGUUUACCUUGAGCAAAUCAGAGUGCUCCAAACAGGCGUUUCGCUUGAAUGUUCGUGCAUGGAAUAAUAGAAGAGGAUUUCGGUUCUAUUUUAUUGGUUUUAUAGACUGAGAUAAUGGUUAACAGAGACAAACGGGGGCAUUAGUAUUGCCUUGUGAGAGGUGAAAUUCUUGGACC
rnacentral:rRNA from 1 species